GCUAGAGUGGCAGAGCCUGGUAAGUGCGGAAAGCCUAAGCCUUUCAUCCCGGAGGUUCAAGUCCUCCCGCUAGCU
rnacentral:tRNA from 1 species